GCGUCCCUUUCUAGCGCUUUCUCUCGUAAUUCUCAGCAUUUGUCCUGCAAACUCUUCAAGCACUCUGCUUAAACCCUGCACCCUUUCACUCUCCAAACUCUCAAACCCUGCACUCCUCGUGGGUCAUCUUCCUGGCUGCUACAUUCUUCUGUAGAGGUGUAAUUUUCUAUUCAACUACUGUGCCCAAUGAUCCUGACACCCAUGAAGAUUUUAGGCCCACUAUUAAGCUUGAGAGUUCUGGUCUAUCAUUGACGGACAUUGUUGAACAGGAUGUGAAAGAGAAACCCGUUAUGAUUUAUAUGAAAGGGGUGCCUGAUCUUCCUCGCUGCGGGUUCAGCUCAUUAGCUGUGAGGGUGCUGAAAGAAUAUAGUAUACCUAUAAGCGCCAGGAAUAUAUUGGAAAACGUUGAACUUAAGAAUGCCGUAAAAGCUUAUAGCCAACAAAUAUCUGAAUGAAGAAUGAGAAGAAGGGUGGAUUUAUUUGUCCAGAAGACGCUUGCUUUAUAAUUCGGUUACUUUUGUUGCAGCAACUGGCCUACAUUCCCACAAAUAUUCAUCAAAGCACUCAAGAAAACAAGUGUUUCACGCGGAAUGGUGAGCUUAAGGAAAAGCUGAAGGACAUUAUGGGCGGAUCUGAAAAAGCGGAAUGAGAUGUGUUGCAGAAAUCAUACAUAUUUGGAAAGCAGAAAGUGGUUCCUAGAUAUACAAGUUAGUAAAUAAAAAUUUAUUGCAGCACAUUGUAGAGAUUUUCUUUGGUGGUUCUGCACGCAAUACAGAGGUUAAUUGUGACAAUCUUGAGGGUUAGGAUCGGGCUUUUGAAGUUCAGCAUGGGGUUUUCUUUCACAUAUACAUGCAUAUGUAUGGAAUUGCAGCUGUCCCGGUGUCUUUUUUGACAGAAAUGUUUGCAGGUGGUGAGUGUAAUGAUUUUUAUUUGGCAA